ACACCCUAUUUUUAAACUAAUCAUAUUUUAACAUGAAUCGAACUGUUAUAUUUUAAAAUAAGUCAUUUAACCUUUUUCAAUUAAAUCCACAUUUAUCUAUAAAAAAGAGUGAGAUCACACAACCAUAUGUGUUUUAGAAACACAUCCUAAAUCCACUUUAUCAUCUUCAAUAUACAACUACCUCUGUAAGUAGGAAAAAUGAACCAAAUUUAAAAACGGCAACAAUAAAUUGUCUCGAAUAUAUCCAUACGAAACUUCUAUCUUUUUAUCACAACUAUGAAGCCAAACUACAAAAAAAACGAAGGACAAUGUCAAACUUAAAGCCAUACAAAAUCGAGUUGGAAAUUAACAAAAACUAAAACAAAAUUCAAAUUAAAACCAGUAGAACUCUGAUACAAAACUAAUUGAAAUAGUGUUAAAAAAAAUGAACCGCAAAAUACAUCAAAAAUCAAAUUGAACUCGAAUCUCACCGGAGUUUGUUAACUACUUGAUUCCGGUCAUGAUCUCGUUUGAAUCCACAGAGCGCCUCCGCCGCACUGAUCUGUCACCACCAUUAGGGAUCGCAUGUUAGAUCUGGAAUCCACCGCUCACCCUUGUUUCGUUAAUAAUCACCUUGCAACUUUUGUGUUUUGUCAAAAUUUGGGAGGAAUAUACAAGGUGUUAUUGUUACUGGGAUAUAAGAUCCAUAGAUUUCCUUUUACAAAAAAGAAGAGAUCGAAGGUUGGGUUGUGUGUUUGUGAAUGAGAGUGAAAUAUUUGUUGAAAAAGGAACAGAUGAGCGUUCAUAUCGAAUGAGGGAGAGAAGAAGCAGUUUUUUCUUCGUUCAUUGUCAUGAGAGAGAAAGUGAGAAAUUGUUUGGUAUCAUUAUUUUCCUUUUUA
rnacentral:lncRNA from 1 species